ensembl:snRNA U6 U6 spliceosomal RNA
AUGCUUGCUUAGACAGUACAAAUAUUAAAAUUGGGACAAUACAGAGAAAAUUAGUAUGGCCCUUGUGCGAGGAUAAUACACAAAUUCAUGAAGUGUUCCAUGUAUAU